rnacentral:lncRNA from 13 species
AUGUAUGGGGACAGCUGCCCAGCCUCCGUGAGUAUCUCACUGAGGAUGAAAAUGACUAUCUUUCUCUUGCUUCUUCUAUUAGAUGACCCUGAGAUAGAAGCACAACAGUGGACGGAGGUGAAUGGACAAGUAUACGGACACGUUCUGCUGAGAUUUAUCUUUCCUCCCUUCUACAAUGGUUAUGAGAAGUUAUGUUCUAAACUAUAUCCUGGGCCAUUUCCUGUUGUGAAUACCAGAGGAUAUGUCAACAACUACUACAAGGGAAGAAUAUCGAGAACGGAAUACAACGGUGGGAUGUACGUUAUGAUAUGGAAUUUAAAACCUGUGGACGCUGGCGACUACAGGUGUGUUGUCAGCGGUGUGAAUCAUAUCUACUCUGACUUUCACCUCCAGAUUGAUAGUGGUCGACGUAGCGGUCCUGUACCACCUCGACCUCGUGUCAGAUCAACCAUCAGACCCUCCAUCUUCUCAUCAUCCUCCUCCGACACCUCUGGGCCUUUUUCCCCCAGAGAAAUGUGGAGCAACUUCCAGUGA